UACGGAAGGCAGCAGUGGGGAAUAUUGCACAAUGGGCGCAAGCCUGAUGCAGCCAUGCCGCGUGUAUGAAAAAGGCCUUCGGGUUGUAAAGUACUUUCAGUCGUGAGGAAGGUGUUAAGGUUAAUAACCUUAGCAAUUGACGUUAGCGACAGAAGAAGCACCGGCUAACUCCGUGCCAGCAGCCGCGGUAAUAUGGAGGGUGCGAGCGUUAAUCGGAAUUACUGGGCGUAAAGGGCACGCAGGCGGUUAAUUAAGUUGGAUGUGAAAUCCCCGGGCUUAACCUGGGAAUGGCAUUCAAGACUGGUUAGCUAGAGUCUUGUAGAGGGGGUAGAAUUCCAUGUGUAGCGGUGAAAUGCGUAGAGAUGUGGAGGAAUACCGGUGGCGAAGGCGGCCCCUGGACAAAGACUGACGCUCAUGUGCGAAAGCGUGGGGAGCAAACAGGGAUUAGAUACC
rnacentral:rRNA from 1 species